GUAGGGUGCAAGCGUUAAUCGGAAUUACUGGGCGUAAAGCGUGCGCAGGCGGUUUUGUAAGUCUGUCGUGAAAUCCCCGGGCUCAACCUGGGAAUUGCGAUGGAGACUGCAAGGCUAGAAUCUGGCAGAGGGGGUAGAAUUCCACGUGUAGCAGUGAAAUGCGUAGAGAUGUGGAGGAACACCGAUGGCGAAGGCAGCCCCCUGGGUCAAGAUUGACGCUCAUGCACGAAAGCGUGGGGAGCAAACAGGAUUGGAUACCCUGGUAGUCCACGCCCUAAACGAUGUCUACUAGUUGUCGGGUUUUAAUUAACUUGGUAACGCAGCUAACGCGUGAAGUAGACCGCCUGGGGAGUACGGUCGCAAGAUUA
rnacentral:rRNA from 1 species